rnacentral:rRNA from 1 species
GAGUUGAUCCUGGCUCAGGACGAACGCUGGCGGUGCGCCUUAUGCAUGCAAGUCGAGCGAAGCUUUUCAGUAGUUUACUACAGAAAAUGACUGAGCGGCGAACGGGUGAGUAACGCGUGAGCAAUCUACCUUAGUUACAGGGAUAGCCCGAGGAAACUCGGAUUAAUACCUGAUAUUCUUUAUUUCUCGCAUGAGAAUAAAAGGAAAGGUCAGCCGUACUAAGAUGAGCUCGCGUUCUAUCAGCUAGUUGGUGAGGUAAAAGCUUACCAAGGCUACGACGGAUAGCUGGUCUGAGAGGACGAUCAGCCACACUGGGACUGAGACACGGCCCAGACUCCUACGGGAGGCUGCAGCAGGGAAUAUUGUGCAAUGAACGAAAGUUUGACACAGCGACACCGCGUGUGGGAUGACGGAUCUAGGUUUGUAAACCACUUUCAGGAGGGAAGAAAAUGACGGUACCUCCACAAGAAGCCCCGGCCAACUACGUGCCAGCAGCCGCGGUAAUACGUAGGGGGCGAGCGUUGUCCGGAUUUAUUGGGCGUAAGGAGCUCGUAGGCGGUUCAACAAGUCGGUCGUGAAAGUUCAGGGCUCAACCCUGAAAUGUCGAUCGAUACUGUGGUGACUAGGAUACGGUAGAGGUGAGUGGAAUUCCGAGUGUAGCGGUGAAAUGCGUA